CCGGCUCUGAGGUCAGGAUGAAGAACAAACCCUUAGAGCAUGCUGCAGCAACACCUCCUGUGCCUGCAAUCUCUACACCAACAAAUGACCUCUGAUCACUCACUGAAGAAGAAGGCUUCAGACUAACACCUCAGGCAAGAACCAAGCGAUCUGUUGGCUUAUCCACACCAAGGAAUCCAGCUUGUCCCAGGGUUUUAAAAACUUUAUGUGCCGGGAACUGUCCUUCCUCUUCCCAUUUGUCCACGAAGGGGUUAAUCUCCUUGUCGAUGAUCUUCCUGAGGGCCGCCCGCAAGGCGCCGUGCUGCGGCGUGUCGGCUACGCGCCCUCCGUUCCGCCGCCCGCCGCCUCCACGCAGGGCCGAGGCCCGCAGCGCCCAGCGCCCGCCGCCCCGCAGCGCCAUGGCCGCCGUCGGCCGCUCCGCUCCGCUCCGC
rnacentral:lncRNA from 1 species